UCCGUAGGUGAACCUGCGGAAGGAUCAUUAACGAAAAAAAUUAAUCGAGGGUUGAUGCUGGCAGUCUUUGAUCAGCUGCAUCGUGCUUGCUCUUGUUAAUUCCUUCUUAAAAAAUAUUUACACUUGUGCACUUGAUUUUUUUGAAGGGGUUAGGGUUAGGGUUAGAACUCUACUCUACCUUUUUAAAAAAAAGACUUGAUAAAACUCUUAAUUGGAUUAAUGGAUGUUUACUUGCUGCAAGGCAAAAAUUUAAUACAACUUUUAACAAUGGAUCUCUUGGCUCUCGCAUCGAUGAAGGACGCAGCGAAAUGCGAUAAGUAAUGUGAAUUGCAGAAUUCAGUGAAUCAUCGAAUCUUUGAACGCACCUUGCACUCUCUGGUAUUCCGGAGAGUACUCCUGUUCGAGUGUCAUUGGAAACUCUCUCAAGUUAAGAAAAAGUUUUAACGUUCUUUUUUUUAACUUGGAUUUGGACUCUGCUGUGUUGUCAAUGCGGCUGGUCUUAAAUUUAUUAGCUGGUCCUUAUGAAAGGUUUUGGGGGUGUUCUACUCAGCGUGAUAAAUUAUCUCUAACGUUGAGGACAGUCUUAUUAGGACUGGCCCCUCCCUAUCUUUGGGGAUUGCUUCUAAUCGUCAUUAGACAAAAACUUAAUCCGAAUCUGACCUCGAAUCAGGUGGGACUACCCGCUGAACUUAAGCAUAUCAAUAAGCGGAGGA
rnacentral:rRNA from 1 species